UACGGGGGGGGCAAGCGUUGUUCGGAAUUACUGGGCGUAAAGGGCUCGUAGGCGGCCAACUAAGUCAGACGUGAAAUCCCUCGGCUUAACCGGGGAACUGCGUCUGAUACUGGAUGGCUUGAGUUUGGGAGAGGGAUGCGGAAUUCCAGGUGUAGCGGUGAAAUGCGUAGAUAUCUGGAGGAACACCGGUGGCGAAGGCGGCAUCCUGGACCAACACUGACGCUGAUGAGCGAAAGCGUGGGGAGCAAACAGG
rnacentral:rRNA from 1 species